GACGAACGCUGGCGGCGUGCUUAAUACAUGCAAGUCGAGCGAGGUUACUGGAGUGGAGCCCUUCGGGGUGAAGCUGCUUUAACCUAGCGGCGGACGGGUGAGUAACGCGUGGGUAACCUACCCCAAAGUCCGGGAUAACAGCGGGAAACCGCUGCUAAUACCGGAUGCCUUUACCUUGGGGCAUCUUGAGGUAAAGAAAGGCAACGCUUUGGGAUGGGCCCGCGUCCCAUUAGCUAGUUGGUGAGGUAACGGCUCACCAAGGCGACGAUGGGUAGCCGGCCUGAGAGGGUGGACGGCCACACUGGGACUGAGACACGGCCCAGACUCCUACGGGAGGCAGCAGUAGGGAAUAUUGCGCAAUGGACGGAAGUCUGACGCAGCGACGCCGCGUGAGCGAUGAAGGCCUUCGGGUCGUAAAGCUCUGUCCUUGGGGAAGAAGGCGAAAGCUUGACGGUACCCAAGAAGAAAGCCCCGGCUAACUACGUG
rnacentral:rRNA from 1 species